rnacentral:rRNA from 1 species
GAUGAACGCUGGCGGCGUGCCUAAUACAUGCAAGUCGAGCGAACAGACGAGGAGCUUGCUCCUCUGACGUUAGCGGCGGACGGGUGAGUAACACGUGGAUAACCUACCUAUAAGACUGGGAUAACUUCGGGAAACCGGAGCUAAUACCGGAUAAUAUAUUGAACCGCAUGGUUCAAUAGUGAAAGACGGUUUUGCUGUCAUUUAAAGAUGGAUCGCGGCCUAAUUAGCUAGAUGGUAAGGAAACGGCUUACCAAGGCAACGAAGCGUACCCGACCUGAGAGGGUGAUCGGCCACACUGGAACUGAGACACGGCCCGGACUCCUACGGGAGGCAGCAGUAGGGAAUCUUCCGCAAUGGGCGAAAGCUUGACGGAGCAACGCGCGGUAGGUGAUGAGGGUCUUCGAAUCUAAAAACUCUGUUAUUAGGGAAGAAGAAUUGUGUAAUUAACUAUGCACGUCUUGACGGUACCUAAUCAGAAAGCCACGGCUAACUACGUG